rnacentral:rRNA from 1 species
UGGGGAAUAUUGCGCAAUGGGGGGAACCCUGACGCAGCCAUGCCGCGUGAAUGAAGAAGGCCUUCGGGUUGUAAAGUUCUUUCGGUAUUGAGGAAGGUUGAUGUGUUAAUAGCACAUCAAAUUGACGUUAAAUACAGGAGAAGCACCGGCUAACUCCGUGCCAGCAGCCGCGGUAAUACGGAGGGUGCGAGCGUUAAUCGGAAUAACUGGGCGUAAAGGGCACGCAGGCGGUUAUUUAAGUGAGGUGUGAAAGCCCUGGGCUUAACCUAGGAAUUGCAUUUCAGACUGGGUAACUAGAGUACUUUAGGGAGGGGUAGAAUUCCACGUGUAGCGGUGAAAUGCGUAGAGAUGUGGAGGAAUACCGAAGGCGAAGGCAGCCCCUUGGGAAUGUACUGACGCUCAUGUGCGAAAGCGUGGGGAGCAAACAGGAUUAGAUACCCUGGUAGUCCACGCUGUAAACGCUGUCGAUUUGGGGGUUGGGGUUUAACUCUGGCGCCCGUAGCUAACGUGAUAAAUCGACCGCCUGGGGAGUACGGCCGCAAGGUUA